GCUCAGGUGGUGGAAUUGGUAGACACGCACGCUUGAGGGGCGUGUGGCGUAAGCCGUGCGGGUUCAAGUCCCGCUCUGAGCA
rnacentral:tRNA from 1 species